GUAGGGAAUAUUGGGCAAUGGUCGGAAGACUGACCCAGCCAUGCCGCGUGCAGGAAGACGGCCCUCUGGGUUGUAAACUGCUUUUAUCUGGGAAGAAAAAGGCCAUGCGUGGCAAAUUGCCGGUACCAGAUGAAUAAGCACCGGCUAACUCCGUGCCAGCAGCCGCGGUAAUACGGAGGGUGCGAGCGUUGUCCGGAUUUAUUGGGUUUAAAGGGUGCGUAGGCAGCUGAUUAAGUCAGCGGUGAAAGACUUCGGCUUAACCGGCGCAGUUCCUUUGAUACUUGUUGGCUUGAGUGUCGGAGGGGUACAUGGAAUUGAUGGUGUAGCGGUGAAAUGCAUAGAUACCAUCAGGAACACCGAUAGCGAAGGCAUUGUACUGGCCGACAACUGACGCUGAUGCACGAAAGUGUGGGGAUCGAACAGGAUUAGAAACCCUGGUAGUCC
rnacentral:rRNA from 1 species